GGCAGCGUGGGCGAGUGGUGUAGGGCGCUGGUCUUGUAAUCCGGAGGUUCCAGGUUCAAGCACUCCAUCCUGCCACUAGCUG